rnacentral:rRNA from 1 species
UUUACCUACGGGAGGCAGCAGUGAGGAAUAUUGGUCAAUGGGAGAGAUCCUGAACCAGCCAAGCCGCGUGAGGGAAGACGGCCCUAUGGGUUGUAAACCUCUUUUGUCGGAGAACAAAAACCGGGACGUGUCCCGGACUGCGUGUAUCCGAAGAAAAAGCAUCGGCUAACUCCGUGCCAGCAGACGCGGUAAUACGGAGGAUGGGAGCGUUAUCCGGAUUUAUUGGGUUUAAAGGGCGCGUAGGCGGUCCGUUACGUCAGCGGUAAAAU